rnacentral:lncRNA from 1 species
CACAUAGGCUGCUAAACACCAGCUGCUCCUAGUGACUCAGAUCUGUGACCUUUGAUCAAUUUAUCUUGUCCUGAUUAACCAAUUUCUAUACUGGAGGGAGGAUGUACUUACAUUUCUUUGUAAGUAUAAAUAUUGAGCAAACAUCUUCUGCAUUUCUGUGCAGUACAAACCUGUGUCUUCAGUGUGUCUUGUAACAACUUCUGUAAAUGAGGCUAGUUUGUUAUAACUGCAAACUAACCUUCUUCCUUUCCAUUUCCCAAAUUCUAUCAAGGACAACAUUAGCAAAGUUUUAUUCUGAAACUAAGAUACUGAUAGGUUGGAAUUGAAGCUGUGUAACUGAACUGGGCUAUUUUUCUUUCUAUUUUUUGAGCACCCAUUUUCUUCUAAUUUUGUUUAAAUGCAUUGAUUUUUUCUUUGGAUUGAUCAAGGAAGGAAAAUAUAAAAAUUAAGCAGUUAUGCUGUGGUGAAUUUAACCUGCUUCUUUUUAGAAAACCUGCAGAUGUAUCUAAUGAACAUGGAGAUCCCUGUGCAAUUACAUUACCAAUUUCCUUCAGAAGCCAUGGAUCAUGACCAAGAAAUACGUCUAUGGAGCAUAAUACAUAAGAGACAGGUAGACAAUGAUUGCUACAUAUAUGUGUCUGUCUACAGGUAUCUGCCAAAAAAGAAGAUGAAGUCAACUGAUUCUUUACUAAAUCUUAUUUUUCAUUGUAAAGGCAAGUGAAUUCUACUUAGUGGAUUUUAUAUAUAUAUAAAUAUAAUUUAUUUAUAUAUAUGUAUAUAUUAUAGUUUAUUUAUAAAUUAUU